AUUGCCGCCGUUCCCUAAAGCAUCCUUCGCGCCGGCACUUUGUCGCCGUCGGGGUGCCUUGUGCCUACCUAAAUUGUAGGCAAAAUUAUUAUUUCUAGUCUGAACUUAGCGCUUUCAUUUACAACUAGUGGCUGGCGCCAUGGACGGCCUGACGCUGCUGAUCGCCGCUGGCGUCAUCGUCGUGCUGGGAGCCAUGGUCUACCUGAUCUCGGUGACCGGCGUCAAGGAGAAGAGCUAUGACGAGGCCAUGGCCGAACAGCGCCGCGCCAUUCAGGAGAGCAAGGAUCGCCAGGCCGCGCUGAAGAAGGAGACCCGACCGAAGCGACACUACCAGAAUCGGCGCCGCAAGGACAAGUCGGCCGCCGCCGCCGGAGAUGACAAGAAGCACAGCGAGGACGAACAGGAGGUGGCCGGCGGCACCCGUCUGUCCAUCAGCGAGACUAAUGGAGCUCAGGAGGAUUCUGACGACCCGUCUCCGGCGCCGAGCCCGCGACCGGCUGCCCGUGAGCCGGAGCCGGAGCCAGAGCCCGCCCCCGCCCCUGCCCCCGCUCCGGCUGCCGUCAAGAAGAACGCUGACAAGAAGAAGAAGGGAGGCAAGCCCGAGCCGAAGCCGGAGGAGGAGAAGAAGCCCGCUGAGCCGAAGAUCGAGAAGGAAGCUGUGAAGAAGGAGCUGCCCAAGGAGUCGCCCAAGGAGAAACAUACCAAGGAGGUUGUGGAGAAGGAGGAGGAGGAGGAAGAGGUGGCCGAACCAGUAACCGAGACCGUCACGGCCUCCAAACAGGCGGUCAACACUGAGACUGCACCGGGGGCCGCAAAGAAACGACGACCGGCCGCCGAGAAACGCCGCAACCUCGCUGUUCCCGGACCCGACGGUCUGAGUCUGAAGAAGGUGCAGUCGAUCGUCGAGAUGGCCCCGCUGAGCCGCUCCGAAAUCCAGACGCUGAUCGAGCUGCUGCUCAACAAGCAGCAAUCGAGCACCGACUGGAUCGCCAAGGGCGCCCGUCCCGACCCGCUCACACAGCUGCGCAAACAGCUGGAGGAGGUACAGAAUCAGCUGAACGCCGAGCAGGAGUCGGCGGCCAGCAGCCAGGAGCGGCUGAAGCAGCUGCGCACCGAGCUGAACCAGGAGCGGGCGCGCGCCACGCAGCAGAAGCGCGCUGUGGACGAGCUGGCCGCGCAGCAGGCGGCUGAGGCGGCGCGCGGCGCGGCCCAGGAGCAGCGGCUGCGCGCCGAGCUGCAGCAGGCGCAGCAGCAGGAGCAGCGGCUGCGCGCCGAGCUGCAGCAGCAGGCGCAGCAGAUUCAGGAGAGCAGCCAGCUGCAGCUGCACCAGGCGGUCGCUGCCGAGAGGAUGCUCGUUCAGCGCGAGUUCGAGCAGAAGCAGCUGGAGCAGGAGGCGCAGCGCGCUGAGCACGAGGCGCUGAUGCGCAACUCGCAGCAGCGGCUCGAGGAGCGCGAGCGGCAGCUGGUGCAGCUGGAGGCGGCGCGCGCAGCUGUCGGCACCGAGCUGCAGCAGCUGCAGUCGCUGCACGGCGGCCUGGAGCGCGAGAACACGGCGCUCAAGCAGCAGCUGCAAGAGCUGCAGCACGCCGCCGACGCGGCCGGACGCGCGCAGGCGCAGCGCGAGGAGGCCGACCGGCAGCUGGCCGCCGGCAGACAGGAGGCCGAGAUGGCGCGCGGCCGCGCCGAGGCCGAGCUGGCCGAGACCCGCGCCCGCCUCUCACAGACGCAGGGUGAGGCCAGCCGGCUGAUGAACGAGCUGCAGGAGGCUAGGGUGGAGCUGGAGACGGCCCGUGAGGAGCCGGCGCACCAGAAGCAGAACGGCGAUGCGCGCCAGCAUGACGAGCACCUGGAGCAGCUGACCAGCCAGCUGGCGCAGCAGAAACAGGAGCUGGAGGCGCGCCGGCAGCAGCAGCAGACGGCGGAGGCGGCGGCGCGCCGGGCCGAGCGGCUGCAGGUCAAACAGCUACUGGUCGGGCUCUUCCCCACGGUCAACGCCGACCAACUCGAUGUGCGCCGGCGGCCGCGCCCUCAGCCGAUACCGCGGCUCUGGAGCGGCGCCUGCAUGAGAUGGCUGCUGAACAGAACGCUCUGAUGGCCCAGGUUCGCCACUACCAGAGCGUGCUGACAGAGACGGAGUCGAUGCUGACCCGCCUGCAGCUGUCGGUGGAGGACGGUGACCGCGACUGGGAGCGGCGGCUCUCGGACAAACAGCGCGAGGUGGACCAGCUCCGAGCGACGCUCAACACACAGGCCAGCUAAUGCCACCUCUGGCUCCGGAGCCGCCGCGCCGCGCCGGGCCGACCGCAGCGGCCGCCACCGCGCACAGCACGCGUCGAGUGAGGCACGGAUUCCAGUGGUUCAGGCGCGCCGCUGGCCCGGCCGGCCGGCGACACUGGUACGCGUGACACACACACACACAUACACAGACACACAAACACAGUACGGCCACGGGCGGCCGGGGCGCCGAUAUCCGCGGACGGGGCCGCGCGAUACGGUGCCGACGACGAAGCGCACCAAUAAUUAUGUUAUCUCUCGAGUGUGAGUGAGUGACCGACUGUUGAGUUGCCGCCGCCGCUGCUCCGCACGUGUGGCCCGCCACCGUCGCUCGCUGGCGGACUUCUCGGCCGUGAACUUCUACUUAUGGAAGCCGCGCGUGCGACGCGGACGGCAGAGCCGAGGGCGUUAUGGCGUGCGCGAGCAAUAGGGGCGCGGACGCCGGCCGGCCGCGUUCGGUGGGGGAGACCUGUACAUAGCGGCGGCCGGCGCGGCGUGGCACGCGCGCCCACCGGCCGGGCCGCGCAGCCCUGGCUGUCAUCACCUAUCCCAAUAUAAUUAAUUUUGGAGAGAU
rnacentral:misc_RNA from 1 species